GGGGCAAAGCCGCGAACGGGUGAGUAACACGUGGGUAACCUGCCCCGAAGACUGGGACAACCCGGGGAAACCCGGGCUAAUACCGGAUGUGGUCACCGUCCACAAGGACAGUGAGCAAAGGAAGCUUCGGCCUCCGCUUCGGGAUGGGCCCGCGGCCCAUUAGCUUGUUGGUGAGGUAACGGCUCACCAAGGCUUCGAUGGGUAGCUGGUCUGAGAGGACGAUCAGCCACACUGGGACUGAGACACGGCCCAGACUCCUACGGGAGGCAGCAGUGGGGAAUCUUGCGCAAUGCACGACAGUGUGACGCAGCAACGCCGCGUGGGGGAAGAAGGCCUUCGGGUUGUAAACCUCUUUCAGGAGGGACGAAGCUCCGGUCGCGAAUAGCGGUCCGGAGUGACGGUACCUCCACAAGAAGCCCCGGCUAACUACGUGCCAGCAGCCGCGGUAAUACGUAGGGGGCUAGCGUUGUCCGGAAUCAUUGGGCGUAAAGCGCGCGUAGGCGGCCAGAUAAGUCCGGUGUGAAAGUCACAGGCUCAACCUGUGAAUGCCGCUGGAAACUGUCUGGCUAGAGUCCGGAAGGGGCGAGUGGAAUUCCUGGUGUAGCGGUGAAAUGCGCAGAUAUCAGGAGGAACACCAAUGGCGAAGGCAGCUCGCUGGAACGGUACUGACGCUGAGGCGCGAAAGCGUGGGGAGCGAACAGGA
rnacentral:rRNA from 1 species